rnacentral:lncRNA from 1 species
GUUUGCAUCUGUGGAGGAAAUGAAGUGAAGUAAACAACAGAUAGAAACAGGCUUUCUUUGAAGCCCCCCUUGUUGGGACCUGGGAAAGAUGAAUUGAGAGUCUGACAAUUUAAAGCUCUGACAGAAAUAUUUACUGCUGGCUACGAUUUAUUUUUUUCUGAAGGCUGCUACCUGUGAGGUUUCAUCUGCAUAGUAAGACCCCUUUGCUAGUUGCUAACUUUGGAGGAAGCCAGCUGCCAUGUCACAAAAAGAUUCAGGAAGCCAUGUGGAGAGGCCCACAUCAUGAGGAACUGAGGUCUUUGCCAAUUACCAGCAAGGAAAUGAGGCCUCCUGCCAACAGCCACGUGAGUAUCCUACCUUGGAAAUGGACCCUCUAACUUCAAUCAGCCUUCAAAUAACUGCAGCCCCAGUUGAUGGCUUGACUGCAACCUUAGGAGAAACCCUGAGCCAAAAACAUUGAGGAAAAACACCCCCAGAUUCCUAUCAGAAAUUGUGUAAGAUAAUAAAUGUUUGUUGUUUUAA